rnacentral:lncRNA from 10 species
AAAACAAACACACAAGGAACAAAGGCAGUAGGAGUUUUAAGUCUUGGCCUGUGGAGGAGGCAGUCGCAGCACCGGAGCAUCGACCCAACUUCGGGUCUCCAUCAGGCGCUGUGGUCUGGGAAGGCGAGUGGCCAUGUAAGGCACCACUGUUCAGAGAGACCAGGGUCUGGAGGCAGAAGCCCCUCUACUGAAUGCUCCUGCAGGCCCCUGUAUCAGCAGUGAAGAAGGAUACUCCAAAGUUAGGUCCUGUUUUGCCCAAGAGCACACAGCCAGGAAAGAGUGGCACCAGCCUCCAGAGUCCAGGAUCUUUCUUUCUGCAGUAUCUCACAAUUUCAACUUGCCCUCUUUGUCUUAACACUUUUUUCUUAAAG